rnacentral:rRNA from 1 species
UACAGAGGUCCCGAGCGUUAGGCGGAAUCACUGGGCUUAAAGCGUGUGUAGGCGGACUUCUAAGUACCUUGUGAAAUCCCACGGCUUACCCGUGGAACUGCUCGGUAUACUGGGAGUCUUGAGCCACCUAGGGGCGAGUGGAACAAAUGGUGGAGCGGUGAAAUGCGUAGAUAUCAUUUGGAACGCCAAUGGUGAAAACAACUCGCUGGGGGUGUGCUGACGCUGAGACACGAAAGCCAGGGGAGCGAACGGG